rnacentral:rRNA from 1 species
UGGGGAAUUUUGGACAAUGGACGCAAGUCUGAUCCAGCCAUGCCGCGUGCGGGAAGAAGGCCUUCGGGUUGUAAAUCGCUUUUGUCAGGGAAGAAACGAGUUUCUCUAAUACAGAGACUUAAUGACGGUACCUGAAGAAUAAGCACCGGCUAACUACGUGCCAGCAGCCGCGGUAAUACGUAGGGUGCAAGCGUUAAUCGGAAUUACUGGGCGUAAAGCGUGCGCAGGCGGUUAUGCAAGACAGAUGUGAAAUCCCCGGGCUCAACCUGGGAACUGCAUUUGUGACUGUAUAGCUAGAGUACGGCAGAGGGGGAUGGAAUUCCGCGUGUAGCAGUGAAAUGCGUAGAUAUGCGGAGGAACACCGAUGGCGAAGGCAAUCCCCUGGGCCUGUACUGACGCUCAUGCACGAAAGCGUGGGGAGCAAACA